UGAAAUUCAACCUAGUCAUUUCAUCACGAAGAGC
rnacentral:sRNA from 1 species